GUGCCAGCCGCCGCGGUAAGACAGAGGGUGCAAACGUUGUUCGGAAUUACUGGGCGUAAAGCGUGUGUAGGCGGCCUUGCAAGUCGGAUGUGAAAGCCCCGGGCUCAACCCGGGAAGUGCACUCGAUACUGCAGGGCUCGAGUGUCGGAGAGGUCGGUGGAAUUCUCGGUGUAGAGGUGAAAUUCGUAGAUAUCGAGAGGAACACCGGUGGCGAAGGCGGCCGACUGGACGAACACUGACGCUGAGACACGAAAGCGUGGGGAGCAAACAGGAUUAGAUACCCUGGUAGUCC
rnacentral:rRNA from 1 species